rnacentral:rRNA from 1 species
ACUAAGCGUACACGGUGGAUGCCCUGGCAGUCAGAGGCGAUGAAGGACGUGCUAAUCUGCGAUAAGCGCCGGUAAGGUGAUAUGAACCGUUAUAACCGGCGAUUUCCGAAUGGGGAAACCCAGUGUGAUUCGUCACACUAUCAUUAACUGAAUCCAUAGGUUAAUGAGGCGAACCGGGGGAACUGAAACAUCUAAGUACCCCGAGGAAAAGAAAUCAACCGAGAUUCCCCCAGUAGCGGCGAGCGAACGGGGAGGAGCCCAGAGCCUGAAUCAGCAUGUGUGUUAGUGGAAGCGUCUGGAAAGGCGCGCGAUACAGGGUGACAGCCCCGUACACAAAAGCGCAUGUGUUGUGAGCUCGAUGAGUAGGGCGGGACACGUGGUAUCCUGUCUGAAUAUGGGGGGACCAUCCUCCAAGGCUAAAUACUCCUGACUGACCGAUAGUGAACCAGUACCGUGAGGGAAAGGCGAAAAGAACCCCGGCGAGGGGAGUGAAAAAGAACCUGAAACCGUGUACGUACAAGCAGUGGGAGCUGAGGGAAAGGCGAAAAGAACCCCGGCGAGGGGAGUGAAAAAGAACCUGAAACCGUGUACGUACAAGCAGUGGGAGCCCCACCACUAAGCCAGUGGUGAACUCCACAUACGCAUCCUUUGCUGAGGAUACGGUUAACGGAGCGCAAGCGACGUUCAACCGCAAAAGAAGCAGAGGGGGCUUAGUGGUGGGGUGACUGCGUACCUUUUGUAUAAUGGGUCAGCGACUUAUAUUCUGUAGCAAGGUUAACCGUAUAGGGGAGCCGGAGGGAAACCGAGUCUUAAUUGGGCGUUAAGUUGCAGGGUAUAGACCCGAAACCCGGUGAUCUAGCCAUGGGCAGGUUNAGGGAAACCGAGUCUUAACCGGGCGUUAAGUUGCAGGGUAUAGACCCGAAACCCGGUGAUCUAGCCAUGGGCAGGUUGAAGGUUGGGUAACACUAACUGGAGGACCGAACCGACUAAUGUUGAAAAAUUAGCGGAUGACCUGUGGCUGGGGGUGAAAGGCCAAUCAAACCGGGAGAUAGCUGGUUCUCCCCGAAAGCUAUUUAGGUAGCGCCUCGUGAAUUCAUCUCCGGGGGUAGAGCACUGUUUCGGCUAGGGGGCCAUCCCGGCUUACCAACCCGAUGCAAACUGCGAAUACCGGAGAAUGUUAUCACGGGAGACACACGGCGGGUGCUAACGUCCGUCGUGAAGAGGGAAACAACCCAGACCGCCAGCUAAGGUCCCAAAGUCAUGGUUAAGUGGGAAACGAUGUGGGAAGGCCCAGACAGCCAGGAUGUUGGCUUAGAAGCAGCCAUCAUUUAAAGAAAGCGUAAUAGCUCACUGGUCGAGUCGGCCUGCGCGGAAGAUGUAACGGGGCUAAACCAUGCACCGAAGCUGCGGCAGCGAGUAAUAGCUCACUGGUCGAGUCGGCCUGCGCGGAAGAUGUAACGGGGCUAAACCAUGCACCGAAGCUGCGGCAGCGAACGUAUCACUUAAAGCGAUUCAGCGGGUUACGAUUGACGGAGCGAAGCGACGUCAAAGCGUAUACAAAGUCGAGUCGGUUUAAGGAUACGUUCGUUGGGUAGGGGAGCGUUCUGUAAGCCUGUGAAGGUGGCCUGUGAGGGUUGCUGGAGGUAUCAGAAGUGCGAAUGCUGUUGGGUAGGGGAGCGUUCUGUAAGCCUGUGAAGGUGGCCUGUGAGGGUUGCUGGAGGUAUCAGAAGUGCGAAUGCUGACAUAAGUAACGAUAAAGCGGGUGAAAAGCCCGCUCGCCGGAAGACCAAGGGUUCCUGUCCAACGUUAAUCGGGGCAGGGUGAGUCGACCCCUAAGGCGAGGCCGAAAGGCGUAGUCGAUGGGAAACGGGUUAAUAUUCCCGUACUUGGUGUUACUGCGAAGGGGGGACGGAGAAGGCUAUGUUGGCCGGGCGACGGUUGUCCCGGUUUAAGCGUGUAGGUGUGUGUUCCAGGUAAAUCCGGUUCACUUUAACACUGAGGCGUGAUGACGAGGCACUACGGUGCUGAAGCAACAAAUGCCCUGCUUCCAGGAAAAGCCUCUAAGCAUCAGGUAACAUCAAAUCGUACCCCAAACCGACACAGGUGGUCAGGUAGAGAAUACCAAGGCGCUUGAGAGAACUCGGGUGAAGGAACUAGGCAAAAUGGUGCCGUAACUUCGGGAGAAGGCACGCUGACAUGUAGGUGAAGUGAUUUACUCAUGGAGCUGAAGUCAGUCGAAGAUACCAGCUGGCUGCAACUGUUUAUUAAAAACACAGCACUGUGCAAACACGAAAGUGGACGUAUACGGUGUGACGCCUGCCCGGUGCCGGAAGGUUAAUUGAUGGGGUCAGCGCAAGCGAAGCUCCUGAUCGAAGCCCCGGUAAACGGCGGCCGUAACUAUAACGGUCCUAAGGUAGCGAAAUUCCUUGUCGGGUAAGUUCCGACCUGCACGAAUGGCGUAAUGAUGGCCAGGCUGUCUCCACCCGAGACUCAGUGAAAUUGAACUCGCUGUGAAGAUGCAGUGUACCCGCGGCAAGACGGAAAGACCCCGUGAACCUUUACUAUAGCUUGACACUGAACAUUGAGCCUUGAUGUGUAGGAUAGGUGGGAGGCUUUGAAGUGUGGACGCCAGUCUGCAUGGAGCCGACCUUGAAAUACCACCCUUUAAUGUUUGAUGUUCUAACGUGGACCCGUAAUCCGGGUUGCGGACAGUGUCUGGUGGGUAGUUUGACUGGGGCGGUCUCCUCCUAAAGAGUAACGGAGGAGCACGAAGGUUGGCUAAUCCUGGUCGGACAUCAGGAGGUUAGUGCAAUGGCAUAAGCCAGCUUGACUGCGAGCGUGACGGCGCGAGCAGGUGCGAAAGCAGGUCAUAGUGAUCCGGUGGUUCUGAAUGGAAGGGCCAUCGCUCAACGGAUAAAAGGUACUCCGGGGAUAACAGGCUGAUACCGCCCAAGAGUUCAUAUCGACGGCGGUGUUUGGCACCUCGAUGUCGGCUCAUCACAUCCUGGGGCUGAAGUAGGUCCCAAGGGUAUGGCUGUUCGCCAUUUAAAGUGGUACGCGAGCUGGGUUUAGAACGUCGUGAGACAGUUCGGUCCCUAUCUGCCGUGGGCGCUGGAGAACUGAGGGGGGCUGCUCCUAGUACGAGAGGACCGGAGUGGACGCAUCACUGGUGUUCGGGUUGUCAUGCCAAUGGCACUGCCCGGUAGCUAAAUGCGGAAGAGAUAAGUGCUGAAAGCAUCUAAGCACGAAACUUGCCCCGAGAUGAGUUCUCCCUGAGACUUAAAGUCUCCUGAAGGAACGUUGAAGACGACGACGUUGAUAGGCCGGGUGUGUAAGCGCAGCGAUGCGUUGAGCUAACCGGUACUAAUGAACCGUGAGGCUUAACC